GUGGCAGUAAUCUCCACCCAUUUCCAGAGAGUACCAAGCCUCACUGACUCAACCCAAAAUUCUUUAUCUGUUUCUUGGGCUUGUACCACAGUGGUGCACAAAAAUGACCUGAGUGAGGGGAAAAGGACUGAGAAGAGAAACGUGGAAUACAUGCACUUAGCCUCUCAUGUCAUCUGAACCAAGGCAAAGAGGGAGUGGAGUUGAGCACCAUGUCUUGUGAAACUUCUAGUUGCAGAAACUCUAGUGGCAGCAGAGUAGGGAAGAAAAACAGCAACAACCCUCCUUGUUGUCUAGUAGUGAGCAUUUCACAGGUUCAGGAGCAGCAUAUUACUUAACGUCACUGAUUGCUACAUGAAUAACAUAUUAUCUAAGCCGAUUUAUCUUUCAUGCCCAUUUCCACAAUUUGAAGCCAUUUCAGGCCCCUUGCUUGCCAUGUGACAUCACAAAGCUCUGCCUCAUGAUAUCUCAAAAUCCUUGCACCUUGGCCUCAGGUUUGGGGCUUGAAAAAUCAGGGAAUAGAAUGCUAUGACCUGGCACCCAUUCUUUGGUGAUUUUGUAGCUAAAUAGCUAGUAGAACAAACCCAGUUGCAGGGGAGGAUUAAUGGGACCCCAAGACUGAAUUCUGUUAAUCAAAUAAUUUCUGGGCCAGGCACAAAAGAGAUUAAAUACAAAACUACAUGCUAGCUGACAUUGCUCUAUGGCAGAUGAGAUAAGACACCAACCAAGAGAUGAAACUUUUUAUAUUGCCAAUAUGUUUACUCCACUCCAUGUAGACAACCAAUAAUCCAUAUCUGAAAUCAUCUGAACAAAUGUGUAGAGAUCAAAAUGUUUGCUUUCAAGGGCAGACAUCUCAGAAUCCCCUAGCCGGGAUGGUCAACACUGUCUGUGGAGUGCUGGAAGUUGUAGACCAAAAAGCAAAACACACCCUUCUGUCAUUGUUGUUGCAGCUGCAGUUGGUACACACAACUGCAAACCAAAGAACUACGUAUAGCCUUAGCCCUUUGCUAACUCUGCAGAUGAAUAUGCCAGCCUAGUGUGGCAUAGUUCAGUGUACGCAAAAUAUUUAGACAUAGCACUCAAUGAGAGCUGUAGAAUGCUUAUUGGAUGUAGCCAACCCCUAUAAAAGGGUUAUUGAGCAGGCAUUAUGUGCAGUGACAUAUGGAGAGAGAGAGAGAGAGAGAGAGAGAGAGAGCAGCUUCCUCUGAAUCCUGAAGAAAUCACUGUUGUUGCCAGGACUAUAAUGUGGAAAGGAAGAGGUUUUGUUGUUGUUGUUUAGUCGUUAAGUCGUGUCUGACUCUUCAUGACCCCAUGGACCAAAGCACGCCAGGCCCUCCUGUGUUCCACUGCCUCCUGGAACUACCCACCUCUUAAAAUGAAUAGCACCUCUGGAGAAUCUAGUUUCUGGUCACAGGGAGAACUGGAUUACUUGGAAGUCAUUUAAUAGACUGGGGCUGGCAAAACCGAGGUGCUUUCUCAAGGGGUUAAGCAUACCUACAGACCUGCCAUAGCUUUUUUGAGAGGAAGCACUAAUGAACAGAGGUGGCCUAGAAAGCCAUUUUUGAUAGAACACUAACAACUGGGCUGUUUUUGUUAUAUUAGAAGAAGAGUAGUUAAAUACAAAAAGAGGCUGCUGUGAUUUUUAAAAAAAGAAAGAAAUGGUGGACUGAAUGGCACAAGGAAUGAACGGCAGACUGACUGGUGGGAAGGCACACACAUUGUUUGCUUUAUGUCCUGGACAAGUUAGUGAAAUGCUAUAGGGACAAUUUUUCAUAAGCUGUUAAUUUUGCAUAUAUAUCCAGCCUCACCUUAUUGAGGACUCAUGAGUCCUGCACAGAUAAUAAUUGCGGCUUCAUAUUGUUCCAGGCACAGCUGGGUGGCACUUGGACUCUAAGGUGCUUCUGUACAGCAAUUUAGUUAUGCCCUAGCUACAUUUUAGUAUUUCUAUGAUGUUCUGUGGCAAUAUCCAAUCGUCCUCUUAUUAAAAGGAAUAAUAGCCUUGCUGGGCGAAGGAGGAGGGAAUGGGGGAUUUGUUUU
ensembl:lncRNA